CGCUUACGUAAGUAACGUGUAAUCUUGAAUUCUACAAUUAUAUUCACAACGAUAUUCCAAACAAUUUUCAUGAUCAUGCUGCUAUCAAAGGGCAAUUAAAGACAGCUUCGUGGCGAUUUCAUUUAUUAUAACCGACUUCCUCUUGCAGGUUAUCAAAUAUUUUGGCCACGAGCAUCACUGAAGAGACAUGUAUUGUCUAAAUGCGCAUCUGGUGCAGGAAAAUUGGUACCGUUAAAGUUAUUACUACCACUGGGUCGAUGCCUCUGCUG
rnacentral:lncRNA from 1 species